rnacentral:rRNA from 1 species
GAGAGUUUGAUCCUGGCUCAGAACGAACGCUGGCGGCGUGCUUAACACAUGCAAGUCGAACGCGAACGGGACUUCGGUUCCUAGUAGAGUGGCGCACGGGUGAGUAACGCGUAGAUAACCUGUCUUCAUAUCCGGAAUAACACGCCGAAAGGGGUACUAAUACCGGAUAUUCUUGCAUUUCACAGGUAAGGCAAGGAAAGGUGGCCUCUGAUUCAAGCUACUGUAUGAAGAGGGGUCUGCGUACCAUUAGCUAGUAGGUGGGGUAACGGCUCACCUAGGCGACGAUCCCUAGCUGGUCUGAGAGGAUGACCAGCCACACUGGAACUGAGACACGGUCCAGACUCCUACGGGAGGCAGCAGUGGGGAAUAUUGCACAAUGGGCGCAAGCCUGAUGCAGCCAUGCCGCGUGUAUGAAGAAGGCCUUCGGGUUGUAAAGUACUUUCAGCGGGGAGGAAGGUGUUGAGGUUAAUAACCUCAGCAAUUGACGUUACCCGCAGAAGAAGCACCGGCUAACUCCGUGCCAGCAGCCGCGGUAAUACGGAGGGUGCAAGCGUUAAUCGGAAUUACUGGGCGUAAAGCGCACGCAGGCGGUCUGUCAAGUCGGAUGUGAAAUCCCCGGGCUCAACCUGGGAACUGCAUUCGAAACUGGCAGGCUAGAGUCUUGUAGAGGGGGGUAGAAUUCCAGGUGUAGCGGUGAAAUGCGUAGGGAUCUGGAGGAAUACCGGUGGCGAAGGCGGCCCCCUGGACAAAGACUGACGCUCAGGUGCGAAAGCGUGGGGAGCAAACAGGAUUAGAUACCCUGGUAGUCCACGCCGUAAACGAUGUCGACUUGGAGGUUGUUCCCUUGAGGAGUGGCUUCCGGAGCUAACGCGUUAAGUCGACCGCCUGGGGAGUACGGCCGCAAGGUUAAAACUCAAAUGAAUUGACGGGGGCCCGCACAAGCGGUGGAGCAUGUGGUUUAAUUCGAUGCAACGCGAAGAACCUUACCUACUCUUGACAUCCAGAGAACUUUCCAGAGAUGGAUUGGUGCCUUCGGGAACUCUGAGACAGGUGCUGCAUGGCUGUCGUCAGCUCGUGUUGUGAAAUGUUGGGUUAAGUCCCACAACGAGCGCAACCCUUAUCCUUUGUUGCCAGCGGUCCGGCCGGGAACUCAAAGGAGACUGCCAGUGAUAAACUGGAGGAAGGUGGGGAUGACGUCAAGUCAUCAUGGCCCUUACGAGUAGGGCUACACACGUGCUACAAUGGCGCAUACAAAGAGAAGCGACCUCGCGAGAGCAAGCGGACCUCAUAAAGUGCGUCGUAGUCCGGAUUGGAGUCUGCAACUCGACUCCAUGAAGUCGGAAUCGCUAGUAAUCGUAGAUCAGAAUGCUACGGUGAAUACGUUCCCGGGCCUUGUACACACCGCCCGUCACACCAUGGGAGUGGGUUGCAAAGGAAGUAGGUAGCUUAACCUUCGGGAGGGCGCUUACCACUUUGUGAUUCAUGACUGGGGUGAAGUCGUAACAAGGUAACCGUAGGGGAACCUGCGGCUGGAUCACCU